rnacentral:rRNA from 1 species
GACAGAGGGUGCAAACGUUGCUCGGAAUCACUGGGCGUAAAGCGCGUGUAGGCUGAUUUCCAAGUCAGAUGUGAAAGCCCUGGGCUCAACCCAGGAACUGCAUUUGAAACUGGGAGUCUUGAGUACUGGAGAGGAAAGCGGAAUUCCUGGUGUAGAGGUGAAAUUCGUAGAUAUCAGGAGGAACACCGGUGGCGAAGGCGGCUUUCUGGACAGUAACUGACGCUGAGACGCGAAAGCGUGGGGAGCAAACAGG